rnacentral:rRNA from 1 species
ACGAACGCUGGCGGCGUGCCUAAUACAUGCAAGUCGAACGGUCUUUCUAUGGAAGCUUGCUUCCACUGAGAAGAUAGUGGCGAACGGGUGAGUAACACGUGGGUAACCUGCCCAUAAGAGGGGGAUAACAUCCGGAAACGGGUGCUAAUACCGCAUAGUUUUCUUGAUCGCAUGAUCGGGAAAGGAAAGACGGCCUUUGUGCUGUCGCUUAUGGAUGGACCCGCGGCGUAUUAGUUAGUUGGUGAGGUAACGGCUCACCAAGACGAUGAUACGUAGCCGACCUGAGAGGGUGAUCGGCCACAUUGGGACUGAGACACGGCCCAAACUCCUACGGGAGGCAGCAGUAGGGAAUCUUCCGCAAUGGACGAAAGUCUGACGGAGCAAUGCCGCGUGAGUGAAGAAGGUUUUUCCGGAUCGUAAAACUCUGUUGUCAGAGAAGAACAAGUUGGAGAGUAACUGCUCCAGCCUUGACGGUAUCUGACCAGAAAGCCACGGCUAACUACGUGCCAGCAGCAGC